UUGAAUCGUAAAAACUCUAUAUUUCUUUAUAAGUUUACAUGGUUUAGUUAUAGAGGAUUCCUUAUAACAUGUAGGCUAUAUAGGACAGCGCAAUGUUGGCAGUCUGUUCUUUGGGACCUUUGUGUCUAAUUGUUUUAUCUUUGCCAUUUUUUCUCCCCCUUCCAACAGACGUCUGUCCAGCUGUUGCAAAACUACAACUCCCAUCAUGCCCUGACAGCCGAAGGCGUAGUAGUAGUUUUGCAACAGCUGGACAGCCACAGGGGAUCACUGAUGAUGUAUGUCAAUCUCGGCCCAUGCUGUCUGAUCUUGAACUGGCAGCAGGAGCCACAACCACUUUACACAAUGAGCAGCGCUGACUGCCGGGACGUCUGCCGAGUGACGUCCUUCCACUCCACACCACAACGUCAGGGGCGUCACUAGUCAGACAUCCCAGCAGCCAGCGAUGCUCAUUGAGCCUGCUGGGAAGAAACCUAUGGCCCAGGCUGUUGGGGCCACCAAAUGAUAUUACAAAUACUUAGUGUCUGGUUAGGAGAAACAAAUAUAACACACCCACAAGGAGUAGCGCCAUUUUAUUAAAAAUUACCAAAAAUCCCUUAGAUAACAGUCAUGCAGAAUAUGUUAAAAAUCUUUUUUUUUUUCUAUUUUCAGCCAAUCAGAGAGCAGCACUACUGAAAUAGAACUCCCAGGAGGAGCAGCGUGUCACACAUGUGAUGUCAUAACCAUUGUCCACCAGAGAGCAGCACUGAGCAGAAAUAACACUGCUCCUGCUCAUUCUUCAUCAGUGAGGGGCUGAUGUUGGACACUGUAGGGACCCUGGAAUAUAGGUGCAUACACAUGACUGGUAAGUACACUUUCUAUAUACAUUUCUAUAAUAAACACAUACUAAAUAAUCUUUCUUUUCCUUUCUUUUCUUUUCUUUUUCUCUUUUAGAUGCAGUAUUUCCAGGAUGUGGAGUCGCAUUUCCGGACUUACAGUAAGAUGACUGUAUUUCCAGGAUGUGGAGUCGCAUUUCCGGACUUACAGCAAGAAGUUGGAUGAAGGCCCAGCCCCAGGAAUCACGCACAUACACAGACACAUUUGCCCAAAUUCUAGAGGUAACCUCCUUUAGUAUGCCCAGAGGAAGGGCAAUACAGUAGCCAUGGAUUCCCUACAGGUUUCCUCCCCUCUGGAGGUUUUUCCUGUCCUGAGUUAGUUACUGUACGCUCUUUGUGAGUGAUGGGAGGUUACAAAAAAAUCCCGACACAAACAUUUUAAUAAAUAAUAAAUAAAGUUCCCCUUUUUUAAACUGA